UUUCCCCUCCUCCAGUCAAAAAAUAAAAUAAAAUCCAUCGGUAGCAUUUUGCAAAACCAACUCAGUAAAAUUAGAAAAUUUUGGUUCAAAUUCAAGCUCAACCCACGUUCGGUAUAUGACUAGAAGCUGUACUACUCACUCACAGAUUUGAUUUCACAGUUACGAGUUCACCUGUGUUUAUCGUAAUUGAUUUGUUGAGCAUGUUUCGAAGAAUUUUGGAAGGCUACAGGUGAGUUUGUUAGGCCCAUAGGGGCAUCCCACAAAUGUGGCUACCCGCGGAAGACCGUCCGGGACGGUGGCUGAUAUCCUGACUAUCCUAACAUUAGAGUUUGGUCCUCACUAGUAGCAAAAAUGUGAAUUUCUUCACCAUCGGUUGAUGAUUAUUUCAUUUUUGUGUUUCAAAUGAAUUGGGAAUUGUCAAGCUUUAUAUUUAUAUGCUUCUGAAUUUUACAUGCUCAACUCUUUUAGCUUGAUUUACUUUUCGUUCGUCGUUGGUACAUUAUUUCGUUACCCCUACUGGGCUGUGGCUCAUCCCAUAUUGAUUUUGUUUUCCAUAAAGUACGAAGCGAGGUUGAGGCAGUAAGCUUGGGAUGAGCUUGCAGCCAGGAGCUUGAGCAAAAGUUAGUAUUUUUGCUUGUCUAUGAUGUGUAUAUCACGGGGUUAUCUGGGUAGUUUAUCUUGCUGUUAUCCCAUGUUAUUUUGAUGUGUUUUGCUGUUGUAUAUAUGAUGGGAUCUGGUAGAAAGUAUUUGGUUAUGCCGGCAUCAAACAGUCUGCAUUAUUUUGGGUCUACUGCAUGUAAAUCUUUUCUUGAUGUCAUUUCAAAAAAGUGCUGGCAUGUCUUCCAUUAUGCAAUAUUAACUCUCAGAUUUCAGUUCUUUUCUACUACUAUGCUUUCAAAUUUAAGUAUCAAUUUGGAACUUGGGUAAUCCAUGUUUGAACUGUUUUUGGACUAUGAUAGUGUAGAAGUUAAACAAGGCGUCUUUACUUUCAGUUAGGAACCAUUCUUAUGUUCAUUUUCCAGUUAGUUCUAAAUAGUAUGUCAUUUGAAAAAUACUGUUGUAUGAUUAAAUUUUCAUUUGGAAUCUGCUGCGUGCUAAAUGAGUAUCUUUUUGUAAAAUGAUGUCUUAAAACGUCUGUAAGGGUAAUGGAUAUUAAUCAAUGUUUAUAUAAUGGCUUUAUAUGAUAAAUGUACUAAGUGGAUUUGUCUGAUUUCAAAGUUAUUAUGAGAUGUGGCUUUGGUGUUGUUGGUCAAGAGAUUUGCAGAUACUCUUUGAUUUAUUUUAAUGACCAUGUGAAUUUAAAUUUGAAAUUCUUUGUUUUAUCCAUUAAUCGUUGAAUGAUUUUCUCCCA